rnacentral:lncRNA from 1 species
CCGAAAUCAUUCUGACCUUUUCUUACAAAAGUUAUUGUAUCUCAUGAUUUACAAUUCCAUUGCUUACAUAAUUUAUUUUAUAAGAAACUAGACUCAAUAAGCUUUAAUUUCAUAUUUUAUUCAUCCUCUAAUUCGAUUUAUACAAUUUUUGGUGAUUUUUCAAAUUUAAAUUACUGCUGCUGCCCAAAACAGUUUUAGUGCAAAAUGUUGAUUUCCAUUUUACCCCAAAUUUCACAAUUUAUACAAUUCAGCCCUUGCUCAAUUAACC